UACGUAGGUGGCAAGCGUUGUCCGGAUUUACUGGGCGUAAGGGGUGCGUAGGCGGACAUUUAAGUCAGAUGUGAAAUACCCGAGCUUAACUUGGGGGCUGCAUUUGAAACUGGGUGUCUAGAGUGCAGGAGAGGGUAGUGGAAUUCCCGGUGUAGUGGUGAAAUGCGUAGAUAUCGGGAGGAACACCAGUGGCGAAGGCGACUACCUGGCCUGUUCUUGACGCUGAGGCGCGAAAGCUAGGGGAGCAAACGGG
rnacentral:rRNA from 1 species